rnacentral:rRNA from 1 species
UACGAAGGGGGCUUGCGUUGUUCGGAAUUACUGGGCGUAAAGCGCGCGUAGGCGGUUUUGCAAGCCAGAGGUGAAAUGCCUGAGCUCAACUUAGGAAUUGCCUUUGGGACUGUGAGGCUUUGAGGACGGGAGAGGUGAGUGGAAUUCCCAGUGUAGAGGUGAAAUUCGUAGAUAUUGGGAAGAACACCGGUGGCGAAGGCGGCUCUCUGGGACGGUACUGACGCUGAGACGCGAAAGCGUGGGGAGCGAACAGG